GAUCAAGCGUUGAAGGGCUUCUGACGGAUGCCUUGGCGUAGAGAGGCGAUGAAGGACGUGGCAAGCUGCGAUAAGAACCGGGGAGGCGCUAGCACCCUUUGAUCCGGUUAUUUCCGAAUGGGGAAACCCACCUUUGUGGUCUGCCAACUCAUGCCCAGUCUUCGGACUGGGUGCGGGUUGGUAGAUUGCUUAAAGGUAUAAUGACCUGAAUACAUAGGGUUCAUUAAGCGAACCCGGGGAACUGAAACAUCUCAGUACCCGGAGGAAAGGACAUCAACCGAGACUCCCGUAGUAGUGGCGAGCGAACCGGGACCAGGCCAGUGCUCUUGUGAAAUAAAGUCGAACGACCUGGAAAGGUCGGCCAUAGCGGGUGACAGCCCCGUAGACGUCAAACAGCAAGAGACUCGAGUAGGGCGGGACACGUGAAAUCCUGUCUGAACAUGGGGGGACCACCCUCCAAGCCUAAGUACUCCUCUACGACCGAUAGUGAACAAGUACCGUGAGGGAAAGGUGAAAAGCACCCCGACAAGGGGAGUGAAACAGAUCCUGAAAUCGGAAGCCUACAAGCAGUCGGAGCCCCCAUGCGGGGUGACGGCGUACCUUUUGUAUAAUGGGUCAGCGACUUCAUGUGUCGAGCAAGCUUAAGCCGUUAGGUGUAGGCGCAGCGAAAGCGAGUCUGAAUAGGGCGCUAAGUUCGACGUAUGACGACCCGAAAC
rnacentral:rRNA from 1 species